GCCUACGGCUGUACUACCCUGAACGCACCCAAUCUCAUCUGAUCUCGGAAGCUAAGCAGGGUCAGGUCUGGUUAGUACUUAGAUGGAAGACCGCCUGGGAAUACCGGCUGCCGUAGGCU